rnacentral:rRNA from 1 species
GUGGGGAAUAUUGGACAAUGGGCGAAAGCCUGAUCCAGCCAUGCCGCGUGUGUGAAGAAGGUCUUCGGAUUGUAAAGCACUUUAAGUUGGGAGGAAGGGUAGUAACCUAAUACGUUGCUACUUUGACGUUACCGACAGAAUAAGCACCGGCUAACUUCGUGCCAGCAGCCGCGGUAAUACGAAGGGGGCAAGCGUUAAUCGGAAUUACUGGGCGUAAAGCGCGCGUAGGUGGUUCAGUAAGUUGGAAGUGAAAUCCCCGGGCUCAACCUGGGAACUGCUUUCAAAACUGCUGAGCUAGAGUACGGUAGAGGGUGGUGGAAUUUCCUGUGUAGCGGUGAAAUGCGUAGAUAUAGGAAGGAACACCAGUGGCGAAGGCGACCACCUGGACUGAUACUGACACUGAGGUGCGAAAGCGUGGGGAGCAAACAGGAUUAGAAACCCGUGUAGUCC